rnacentral:piRNA from 1 species
UCAAGACGGUGAGAUUUGAUUUAGACUGA